AAGGAGGGGAGAUUGUCACAGCCCGUCCCGGAAUUAUAAACUCCGAGGACGUGAAAUUACAGAAACGCCCUUAAACGAGAUUAAGGGUCCUACCUCCUGAAAUCCUUCCCCAUUUCCCGUUUUGUUGUCUCCUUCUCUCUCUCUUCCUCAUCUCUCCCUCAGUCACUCUCACACUCCCUCAUUCUCUCUCAAACUCUCGGACAAACACCAAGGCUCUCGAAAACUUCACAGUUUCAGGAUGAGGAAGGUACCAUCAUGUUCGUGAGGACCAUACGAACACAUUGGUAUUGUUUUCAGGCCAAACUAAGAUCAUAGGGAGCUCUAGGAGGUUCCCACGAAGCUCGGAGUGCUUCGUUGGAAGUUUUUGGACGUAAGAACACGGAGAUCGACAAGUUCAAAGUUUGGCCGGAGCUUUCGAGGCGUUUUCCCGGCGAAUC